rnacentral:rRNA from 1 species
GAUCAUGGCUCAGGACGAACGCUGGCGGCGUGCCUAAUACAUGCAAGUAGAACGCUGAAGAGAGGAGCUUGCUCUUCUUGGAUGAGUUGCGAACGGGUGAGUAACGCGUAGGUAACCUGCCUUGUAGCGGGGGAUAACUAUUGGAAACGAUAGCUAAUACCGCAUAACAAUGGAUGACCCAUGUCAUUUAUUUGUAAAGGGGCGAAAAUGCUCCACUACAAGAUGGACCUGCGUUGUA